rnacentral:rRNA from 1 species
GACGCAGUAGGAUAGGCGAAGCGUGCGAUUGGAUUGCACGUCUAAGCAGUAAGGCUGAGUAUUAGGCAAAUCCGGUACUCAUUAAGGCUGAGCUGUGAUGGGGAGAAGACAUUGUGUCUUCGAGUCGUUGAUUUCACACUGCCGAGAAAAGCCUCUAGAUAGAAAAUAGGUGCCCGUACCGCAAACCGACACAGGUAGUCAAGAUGAGAAUUCUAAGGUGAGCGAGCGAACUCUCGUUAAGGAACUCGGCAAAAUGACCCCGUAACUUCGGGAGAAGGGGUGCUCUUUAGGGUUAACGCCCAGAAGAGCCGCAGUGAAUAGGCCCAAGCGACUGUUUAUCAAAAACACAGGUCUCUGCUAAACCGUAAGGUGAUGUAUAGGGGCUGACGCCUGCCCGGUGCUGGAAGGUUAAGAGGAGUGGUUAGCUUCUGCGAAGCUACGAAUCGAAGCCCCAGUAAACGGCGGCCGUAACUAUAACGGUCCUAAGGUAGCGAAAUUCCUUGUCGGGUAAGUUCCGACCCGCACGAAAGGCGUAACGAUUUGGGCACUGUCUCAACGAGAGACUCGGUGAAAUCAUAGUACCUGUGAAGAUGCAGGUUACCCGCGACAGGACGGAAAGACCCCGUGGAGCUUUACUGUAGCCUGAUAUUGAAAUUCGGCACAGCUUGUACAGGAUAGGUAGGAGCCUUUGAAACGUGAGCGCUAGCUUACGUGGAGGCGCUGGUGGGAUACUACCCUAGCUGUGUUGGCUUUCUAACCCGCACCACUUAUCGUGGUGGGAGACAGUGUCAGGCGGGCAGUUUGACUGGGGCGGUCGCCUCCUAAAAGGUAACGGAGGCGCUCAAAGGUUCCCUCAGAAUGGUUGGAAAUCAUUCAUAGAGUGUAAAGGCAUAAGGGAGCUUGACUGCGAGACCUACAAGUCGAGCAGGGUCGAAAGACGGACUUAGUGAUCCGGUGGUUCCGCAUGGAAGGGCCAUCGCUCAACGGAUAAAAGCUACCCCGGGGAUAACAGGCUUAUCUCCCCCAAGAGUUCACAUCGACGGGGAGGUUUGGCACCUCGAUGUCGGCUCAUCGCAUCCUGGGGCUGUAGUCGGUCCCAAGGGUUGGGCUGUUCGCCCAUUAAAGCGGUACGCGAGCUGGGUUCAGAACGUCGUGAGACAGUUCGGUCCCUAUCCGUCGUGGGCGUAGGAAAUUUGAGAGGAGCUGUCCUUAGUACGAGAGGACCGGGAUGGACAUACCUCUGGUGUACCAGUUGUCGUGCCAACGGCAUAGCUGGGUAGCUAUGUGUGGACGGGAUAAGUGCUGAAAGCAUCUAAGCAUGAAGCCCCCCUCAAGAUGAGAUUUCCCAACUUCGGUUAUAAGAUCCCUCAAAGAUGAUGAGGUUAAUAGGUUCGAGGUGGAAGCAUGGUGACAUGUGGAGCUGACGAAUACUAAUCGAUCGAAGACUUAAUCAA